rnacentral:rRNA from 1 species
CUUGGUCAUUUAGAGGAAGUAAAAGUCGUAACAAGGUUUCCGUAGGUGAACCUGCGGAAGGAUCAUUAUUGAAAAUAAACCUGAUAGGGUUGUUGCUGGCUCUCCAGGGAGCAUGUGCACGCCUUGUCAUCUUUAUAUCUCCACCUGUGCACAUUUUGUAGAUGCCUUUUUUUUCCAAAAGGGUGUCUAUGUUUUGAUAAAACCCCAAUAAUGUAUGUCAAUAGAAUGUUGUGAUAAAUAAAAUCUAUACAACUUUCAACAACGGAUCUCUUGGCUCUCGCAUCGAUGAAGAACGCAGCGAAAUGCGAUAAGUAAUGUGAAUUGCAGAAUUCAGUGAAUCAUCGAAUCUUUGAACGCACCUUGCGCUCCUUGGUAUUCCGAGGAGCAUGCCUGUUUGAGUGUCAUUAAUAUUAUAUAUCAAACUCCCUUGUGUGGGGUAGUUUUGGAUGUGGGGGUUGCUGGCCUCUUGAAAGAGGUCAGCUCUCCUGAAAUGCAUUAGCAGAACAGCCUGUUUUGUUCAUUGGUGUGAUAACUAUCUACGCUAUAGAACCAUGAAGGCAAGUUCAGCUUCCUAACCGUCUCCCGGACAAUUUAUCAUCUAUAUGUGACCUCAAAUCAGGUAGGACUACCCGCUGAACUUAAGCAUAUCAAUAAGCGGAGGA